rnacentral:rRNA from 1 species
CCUACGGGUGGCAGCAGUGAGGAAUAUUGGUCAAUGGGCGAGAGCCUGAACCAGCCAAGUCGCGUGAGGGAAGACGGUCCUAUGGAUUGUAAACCUCUUUUGUCAGGGAGCAAGAAGCUCCACGAGUGGUGCUACGAGAGUACCUGAAGAAAAAGCAUCGGCUAACUCCGUGCCAGCAGCCGCGGUAAUACGGAAGAUGCGAGCGUUAUUCGGAUUUAUUGGGUGUAAAGGGUGCGCAGGCGGAAGCGGCAAGUCAGCGGUAAAAUUGCGGGGCUCAACCUCACCGAGCCGUUGAAACUGCUGUUCUUGAGUGAACGAGAGGUAUGCGGAAUGCGUGGUGUAGCGGUGAAAUGCAGAGAUAUCACGCAGAACUCCGAUUGCGAAGGCAGCAUACCGGCGCUCAACUGACGCUGAUGCACGAAAGUGUGGGUAUCGAACAGGAUUAGAUACCCCAGUAGUC